rnacentral:sRNA from 1 species
GAAGUAAAAGUCGUAACAAGGUUUCCGUAGGUGAACCUGCGGAAGGAUCAUUACCGAGUGCGGGCCCUCGCGGCCCAACCUCCCACCCUUGUCUCUAUACACCUGUUGCUUUGGCGGGCCCACCGGGGCCACCUGGUCGCCGGGGGACGCACGUCUCCGGGCCCGCGCCCGCCGAAGCGCUCUGUGAACCCUGAUGAAGAUGGGCUGUCUGAGUACUGUGAAAAUUGUCAAAACUUUCAACAAUGGAUCUCUUGGUUCCGGCAUCGAUGAAGAACGCAGCGAAAUGCGAUAAGUAAUGUGAAUUGCAGAAUUCCGUGAAUCAUCGAAUCUUUGAACGCACAUUGCGCCCCCUGGCAUUCCGGGGGGCAUGCCUGUCCGAGCGUCAUUUCUGCCCUCAAGCACGGCUUGUGUGUUGGGUGUGGUCCCCCCGGGGACCUGCCCGAAAGGCAGCGGCGACGUCCGUCUGGUCCUCGAGCGUAUGGGGCUCUGUCACUCGCUCGGGAAGGACCUGCGGGGGUUGGUCACCACCAUGUUUUACCACGGUUGACCUCGGAUCAGGUAGGAGUUACCCGCUGAACUUAAGCAUAUCAAUAAGCGGAGGAAAAGAAACCAACCGGGAUUGCCUCAGUAACGGCGAGUGAAGCGGCAAGAGCUCAAAUUUGAAAUCUGGCCCCUUUGGGGUCCGAGUUGUAAUUUGCAGAGGAUGCUUCGGGUGCGGUCCCCGUCUAAGUGCCCUGGAACGGGCCGUCAUAGAGGGUGAGAAUCCCGUCUGGGAUGGGCGGCCGCGCCCGUGUGAAGCUCCUUCGACGAGUCGAGUUGUUUGGGAAUGCAGCUCUAAGCGGGUGGUAAAUUUCAUCUAAAGCUAAAUACUGGCCGGAGACCGAUAGCGCACAAGUAGAGUGAUCGAAAGAUGAAAAGCACUUUGAAAAGAGAGUUAAACAGCACGUGAAAUUGUUGAAAGGGAAGCGUUGUCCACCAGACUCGCCCGGGGGGGUUCAGCCGGCACGUGUGCCGGUGUACUCCUCUCCGGGCGGGCCAGCAUCAGUUUGGGCGGCUGGUGAAAGGCCCCGGGAAUGUGCCACCCUUCGGGGUGCCUUAUAGCCCGGGGUGCCAUACA